GCUCGAGUGGCGAACGGGUGAGUAACACGUGAGUAACCUGCCCUUGACUUUGGGACAACUUCAGGAAACUGGGGCUAAUACCGGAUAGGAGCUCCUGCUGCAUGGUGGGGGUUGGAAAGUUUCGGCGGUUGGGGAUGGACUCGCGGCUUAUCAGCUUGUUGGUGGGGUAGUGGCUUACCAAGGCUUUGACGGGUAGCCGGCCUGAGAGGGUGACCGGCCACAUUGGGACUGAGAUACGGCCCAG
rnacentral:rRNA from 1 species